rnacentral:rRNA from 1 species
AACGAACGCUGGCGGCGUGUUUAAGACAUGCAAGUCGCACGGUGUCAUUUUGGUAGCAAUACUUGAAUGGCAUAGUGGCGCACGGGUGAGUAACACGUGAAUUACAUGCCCUAUAGAGGGGGAUAGCCCAGGGAAACUUGGAUUAAUACCCCAUGGUCUCGCAAGAGUAAAGGUGGCCGCAAGGCUGUCGCUAUAGGAUUAGUUCGCGCCCUAUCAGCUUGUUGGCGGGGUAACGGCCCACCAAGGCUACGACGGGUACCUGGUCUGAGAGGACGAUCAGGCACACUGGAACUGAGACACGGUCCAGACACCUACGGGUGGCAGCAGUCGAGAAUAAUUCACAAUGGGGGCAACCCUGAUGGUGCAACGCCGCGUGGAGGAUGACGGUCUUCGGAUUGUAAACUCCUGUCAUCCGGGAGUAAGACCUGGGAGUUAAUAGCUCACAGGGUUGAUAGUACCGGAAGAGGAAGGGACGGCUAACUUCGUGCCAGCCGCCGCAGUAAUAC